GACGAACGCUGGCGGCGUGCCUAAUACAUGCAAGUUGAGCGCUUAAGGUUGGUACUUGUGCCAACUGGAUGGGCAGCGAACGGGUGAGUAAGGCGUGGGGAAGCUUCCUUUGAGCGGGGGACAACAUUUGGAAACGAAUGCUAAUACUGCAUAAAAACUUUAAACACAAGUUUUAAGUUUGAAAGAUGCAAUUGCAUCACUCAAAGAUGAUCCCGCGUUGUAUUAGCUAGUUGGUGAGGUAAAGGCUCAGCAAGGCGAUGAUACAUAGCCGACCUGAGAGGGUGAUCCGCCACAUUGGGACUUAGACCCCGCCCCAACUCCUACGGGAGGCAGCAGUAGGGAAUCUUCGGCCAUGGACGAAAGUCUGAACCAGCAAAGCCGCGUGAGUGAAGAAGGUUUUCAGAUCGUAAAACUCUGUUUGUAGAGAAGAACGUUCGUGAGAGUGGAAAGCUCAUCAAGUGACGGUACCUACCCAGAAAGCAACGGCUAACUACGUG
rnacentral:rRNA from 1 species